UUUUUUUUUUUUUUUUUUUUUUUUUUUAAUAACAGCAAAAUGAAUUACAAACCUUCAGUUGUUUCCUCUGUAUUGGAAAAUAUGCUCUCUCGUUUUAGAAAGCAUGGGUCAACAUAUAACUGGAAAGCCUGUCUUUUUUUUUCCUCUCUUUUUUUUUUAAAGACUGAUUACGUACAUCACCAUGGAAGAUCUAACCCCAUUCUUGUUUCUCUUCUAAUACCACAUAGUGAGUUGCACUAUACUGCCUUAUCAUUGCUUCUUCUGUCCUCUUACUAAGCAGUGUUCCUUAGAUGUAGACCAUUGAAACUCCAUUAUGCAUCAGAUAAAGUUACUGAAGGGGGAAGAAGAAAAAAAGAUUGAUCUGUAGACGUGAAAACUAAACUGUGCCUAUAAAACAAAACCAGUUCCAACUAAUUAGUUCCUUAUUUCUACGUUUCAAUUAUUUAUAUUAUUUUAAAAUUGCACUUUAGCUCUCGCUCUCUUUCUUGCUCUCCCUUGUUAAGUCAUUUAUAAUUCUCUUGUAAGACGUUUGCACCAGAUACAUUUAUAUGCUUUCACUGGUGGCAUAUCUACAACUUUCUGUGACUUAGACUUUACACCCUCUUCAUGAUAGCAUAUAAAUGUUUAAUUAUGCAAAGUGUGUGAGGCAGCAUCUAAGCUACGUUUAUAAUCUCUCAUCCUGAGAACCAAAGUGUCCUGUAUAGCAUAAGGUCAGGAGACCGGCUCUGUUGUGCAUGAUAAUGCACUUUGACUGUUGUCCAACCCGCGGUAGCUGUGACGCUGCAGUGAUAACAGUGGCCAUACUGUGUAUUAAAAGUCUAAAUCAAUAAAAUAUGUUGCCUUAUAACUUGACUAGGGACAGCACCUUUAAAAAAAAAAAAAAGACUAAGAAAAGAGACUAAAAACUUCUAAGGACAAAUAAAGCAAUAAAAUCUUAAGCGAUCUAAACACCAAAAAAAAAACCAAAAAAUCAUUCAUUUUUUCAUCAUCUGAAUUCAUCAUCUUGUUGCAAAGACUGUUUAUAUCAGUAACAUUUUUUCAGAGCUUAUGGUUAUCUCGGUUUUAUCAGUAGCUUUACACACAGAGCUAAAUUGCUUACUGUUGUUGGUUUUACAUAGCUUUCAAAACUACUUUAUAGCAAAUCUUAAAACUCUGUGAGGCCAAAAAUGUCAGUGUUUGCAUACGCUCACAAAGAGAUUGAUUCGCUAAGUGGAAAUCCGAUCCUUUCCCAGGCUCUCCUUGGAUUGGAAUCAAUAAUUGCAACUUGCUAUAUUUAGGCUGAUGUGUAAUACCUGGUAUUCAGGAUCUCCAGUUCUGUAUUUAUGCAAAUUAAAUGUUACUUAUGCUAAGUUUCCCUGGGUGGAACUUUUCCUGACCCCCCCACAAAGCAGCACGCCAGCUCGUGUUGCAAGACAACGAGACCCAAAUCUCUUUUUGGCUAAAAUAUGUGCAGCAGUUUUCUGAACGAAGACUGUAAGCUCAUUCUGCCUUUACAGCAAUUGCAGCAGUGUCAGGAAAUAAGGGACUGGGGGCUGAUAGUGUAUCUGAAGGGAAAUGUCUUCCUUACUGGAUUCUAGGAAAUUCCAGAGCAUUUCUUCCCCCCACCCAGAGGAGCUGGGGUUGCAAAGAUAUCAGAGACAACCUUUACCAUGCUUCCAAAAGAGAAAACAUUUUGCAUGCAAGGUGUGCUCGCUCUUCGAAGUGAGAGUAAUCGCCACCGAGAGUUUUGCCAAGAACUUUAUAAUCUGAACCCCAGCGUUUCCCAGCCCAUGCUGGUGAGCUCUGUACUUUUCUCUGUAACAGCUCAAUUUAAACACUGGGUAGCAAUCAUCCGUGAAAGUCGCUUCUUUGGAAUAUUGUCAUUGUCCUGGUUUUAAGGAACUUUUAGCACUGCUUGGAGUAAGCCUAAACUAUCGAAGUUUAUAUAUAAAUAUAUAUAUAUUAUAUUAAAAAGGUGCUGUCACAGUAAGUUUUGGGCUUGAGGUCGUUUGUAUUGUAUGCAAAGGUUUUAUGUUUGUUUGUCUGUUUUAUUCUGUAAAGCAACCACCUUCCUUACCGGAGGGAGAUAAUUUUUUUUUUUGGUACAUAAGUGUAAAUACUUGCUGCAGCAUUUAAUAUGUUUAAUUUUAUGUUAAGCUUUUUGUUGCAUUGUGAACCCAUUAUUGUUGCAAAUGGACAAUGAGUUCAUUGAGACUGUUCAACUAGGUCAGAUUUUUACAUCUCUUUCUAGCUAGAAGAGACGGGAUUUUUGUGCAUUUGUACAAAUGUUAAUAAUAUCACUGCAAUUCCAAUAUAAUAAAGCACUCAAAUACAA
ensembl:lncRNA